UCAAAUGGACACAGUGGAACGUGUCAUCCUUUCUGUCCUAGUUAUAACAAAUGUGUUAGAACUCCGUUUUAACACGUAUCAAACUAUCUAAAAAAAAAAAAAUACAGGUUGAAUUCCAAGGAUACAAGUACUACCUAAUGAAACCAGCUGGUGGCGAUAAUGCUCCACGUUUGUGAAUCGCCAGGGAAAAAAGAAGAAGAAGAAGAAGACCCAGGAAGUAAAAAUGAGCGGGAACUGCCAGGAAUCAAUUCGAAAUGACACAGGGACGAUGGAUUAGCCGGUUUUAGUGGAAUUAUGCACAAAAACACAACAAGUCAUCAAAGAUGUAUGAAAGAGAGGGGAGAGCAGACGACUCACCAAAGACAGUCCUGGCAGGGACGGACUCUCUGUUGAGCCAGAAAGACACUUGGGAGAGGAUGACAGUCAUGAUGCAGGUGAACAGAUGGUAACCGCGCUGACGCCUACCUGUGCUGGACUGCACCACGCCAGAAUCCACACUCUGUCCCAUCAGAUCAUACUGGUUCAAUCUGGACCCGUCCUCUGCCACCACCACGGACUGGGCAGCUCCCCUGGUCCACACGUACACCACCU